rnacentral:rRNA from 1 species
GGAAUCUUGCGCAAUGGGCGAAAGCCUGACGCAGCCACGCCGCGUGCGGGAUGAAGGCCCUAGGGUUGUAAACCGCUUUUAACAGGAACGAAAAUGACGGUACCUGUAGAAUAAGGUGCGGCCAACUACGUGCCAGCAGCCGCGGUGACACGUAGGCACCAGGCGUUGUCCGGAUUUAUUGGGCGUAAAGAGCUCGUAGGCGGUUCAGUAAGUCGGGUGUGAAAACUCUGGGCUUAACCCAGAGACGCCACUCGAUACUAUUGUGACUAGAGUUCGGUAGGGGAGCGGGGAAUUCCUAGUGUAGCGGUGAAAUGCGCAGAUAUUAGGAGGAACACCGGUGGCGAAGGCGCCGCUCUGGGCCGAUACUGACGCUGAGGAGCGAAAGCGUGGGUAGCAAACAGGAUUAGAUACCCUGGUAGUCCACGCCGUAAACGGUGGGCACUAGGUGUGGGUUCCAACCAACGGAAUCCGCGCCGUCGCUAACGCAUUAAGUGCCCCGCCUGGGGAGUACGGCCGCAAGGUUAAAACUCAAAUGAAUUGACGG